rnacentral:miRNA from 1 species
AUACAGUCUAGCUUUCGAGGCUUGUUUUAAGUUGCCUGCGACUUGUACUUGGACACAGGCAGCUAAAGCAAGUCUGGGACGCCAGAGACACACCUACA